rnacentral:rRNA from 1 species
GACGAACGCUGGCGGCGUGCUUAACACAUGCAAGUCGAACGGAAAGGCCCCUUUGGGGGUACUCGCGUGAGGAACGGGUGAGUAACACGUGCGUAACCUGCCCUUGCCUUCGGGCUGGAUACAGGAAACAGGGGGUAAUACCGGCUAGGAAUGCUUGCAGCAUGGUGGGGGUUGGGAAGCUUCGUCGGUUUUGGAUUGAGCCGCGGCCUAGUCGCCUGUUGGUGGGGUAAUUGGUUACCCAGGCCUUGGCGGGUAGCCGGCCUGGGGGGGGGACCGGCCACAUUUGGACUUGGGUACGGCCCCGGCUCCUUCCGGGGGCAGCAGUUGGGAAUAUUGGACCAUGGGCCGAAGCCUGAUGCAGCAACGCCGCGGUCGGGAUGACGGCCUUCGGGUUGUAAACCGCUUUCAGCAGGGGCGAAGCUUGUAGUGACGGUACCUGCAGAAGAAGCACCGGCUAACUACGUG